AGUAUCAGGUAGUUCUUUAUAGCAUUGUGAGAAUGGACUAAGACAAUUGUGGAAUGUUGACAGCAUUGUCACCUCCUUCUUCUUGGGAUAAAUGCUGCAGCCACAAGUGCUACCAGUGAGUAUUCCCAGGGCAAAUGGGAAAAGGUUUUGAAGCAAAGCAUAAAAAUUAAUAUAAAAAAUUGAGAGUAUUGGGGAUUUAUUCCCUUAUAGAUUCGGGGUGCCACAAGGAAGAGUGGGAUAACUCAUUAGAGGGUUAGAGAAGGGUGAGGGAAUUAAAUGGGAGCAAGGCCUGUAUGAAGAGUUUUUGGGUUAGUUAGCUGGAGGGAAAUAGGGAAGCCAGCACUGUAGCUGUGCAGGAAUCCAGGUAUAGAAUAGUGGCUCUAAGGAUGGACUGUUAUAAUAAGAAAAUGAACCAUAUAUUCAGCACUUACGAAGUGCUAGAACUGCACUGCACCAUCAUUUCAUACUUAAAACAAUCUUAGGAAAUAGGGAUGGCUAUUCUCCCUGCUAUUUAGCUUCAAUAGUGGGAUCUUAAGAGAUAUGACUAGUUUAAGAUAAAGAGCUUAAAGAUGCUUUUUAAUUGCUCUGGUGUAUUACCUUUAAAUCUAAACCUAAAAGGUAGAUUUGUAGACUCAUUGGACACUGAAAUAAUAGGAGUGUAACUGACAGAAUCAGAGCAGUCAGGAAGAACAGCUACGUUUUGAAUGAGUGGCAGAGGGAGUUGAACACUGGGGCAGAGUGUGUGACAUUUUCAUCUGUGAGGAUCAUCUGGAAAGAGGGUUCAUUCCAGUGGAGAGAGGGGAGGACUGAGAGCCAGGAGUCAAGGGUUCCUAUCCUGUCCCCCAUCCCCAUCUAUCUAUCUAGGGAGCAAUGUUGUGACAAUCCCUUCUCCAAUGUGAGCUCUCUACUUCCUCUAAAUCUAGUAAGAUUAGUCUAGAUUAGUAGUUCACAUUUUCGAGUUAAAGAGCCAUCCAUGGUACACUAAUUUAUACAAUCAAUAAGGCUGAGAAGUGAGGCUAGGUGGGAAGGAGAGGGUGGAACUUUAUUAAUUGAUUCUGGUUUUCCCUCCUCAUUGCUUCACCAGCACCUCUCACCCACCCCCACCAGGGUGCCUUUCUUCUUGACAUCCAGCAAACAAACCACCUAAAACUCUCAAGGGAUCUUUUGACAGUUUAAAAAUCACUGGCUUAGCUUUGUCUCUUCUUCUCUCCCUGUAUGGCCCCUUCACAUCCCAACUCUUUUCUUUUUUAUUUUUCAAGAUAACCCCAAUUAUGAUCAUGCCCUUGUGACCACUGAGGGCACAGUGACCUACGAAUCUGGAUAUUUGCAUUUUGACUUUGUGUCUGGCAAGACUUUGUUCCCUGCAUCUCAUGGGAGCAGGGAGUUAACGCUUAUGUUUUGAAUGCCUUCACUUCUUUUUGGGCCAUUGAGGCUAAAUAGCUCCAAUCGUGGAACAAGGUGAUUUGGAUGAACAGUAACAACUAUUUUUUUUUUCUUAAUUUAUGUUGCUUCUAGGGGACCUCAUAGUAUCUGGAUGAAGACUGUUUACACACAUAUGUGCGCACACACACACACAGCUCCCAGCUCCAAUUGAUAAAAAUAACGUUUACUAGGAAGGAGUGGAGUGUGAUGGCAGAGUAGGAUUCUCCAGUGAUUGUCCCUUAACAGAAAAAUUGAUUUGUAGCAAUUACCCAUACAGGAAAAAAUCUUCACAAGAGCUAAAUAAACCAGGUAAGAGUACCUACUUUAAAAAUAAUAAGAAGAAAAUGCAUAUUGAAGAGGGUAGAAAAGACAGUUUUAUAUUACCCACAACCCCCUCCUCUAACCCCAGGCAGCACAGCUUGGAGAGAGAGAUACCUGCUUGGGAGAAGGCCAGGGAAGCAAGUGUAGGACAUUGCCUAUACGAGAGGCUAGAGUUACUGGGAAGAAGGUGGAGAUGGGGUGACAUUGGUCAAAGGAGACAUAAUUACAGUUAGAUAGGAGAAAUACAUUUCAGCAGAACUAUUAUACAGCAGGGUGACUAGAGUUGAUGAUAUAUUCAUUUUUAUUCUGAAAAAAUGCCAAGAAAGUGGAUGUUAUGUGCUCUUACCACAAAAAUGAUAACUAUUAGUGGUAAUGCAUUUGUUAGCUAGGUUUAACCAUUCUUCAGUGUAAAUGCACUUCAAAACAUUAGAUUGUAUAAGAUAAAAGUAUGUAAUGUUAUCUGUCAAUUAAAAAAUAAAAUUAAACAUUUAAAAGUAAAUAAAUAAUCAUGUUUCCUGUGCUCAGUGCUGAAAAAAUACCUGUAACCUCAGAGUUAGCCAACAACAGGAAAUGUACUAGUCUUUAGGGAUGCUGUAACAAAAUAUCACCAACUGAGGAGCUUAAACAGCAGAAAUGUUUUCACUUCUAGAAUCCAAAAUCAAAAUGCCAGCAGGUCUGGUUUCUCCUGAGGCCUCUCCCUGUAGCUUGCAAUCUGUCUUCUCGCUGUGUCCUCAUCUGGUCUUUUUCUUUUCUCUGUGUACAUGCCCCUGAUGUCUCUUCCUUUUCUUAUAAGAACGCCAGUUCUGUUGGAUUAGAGUGCCUCUCUUAUGACCUCAUUUGACCUUUAUUACUAUCCUAAAGGCCGUAUUUCAAAAUAUAGUCACAUUGGAGCUGUUAAAUCAAGUUUAGUCUAAAGUGCCUCCCUACAUUUAAGUUCAGUCUAAAGGUUUCUCUGUACAUUAUGAACUAUAACAAGUGGAGGUGUAAACAGACCAUAGCCUACACUUGUGCCAAUCACUGAGUUUUGGCCAAUCAAAUAUAGCCAACUGUUCGAAUUGUGUUCAAAUAAGGCAAAGGCUGAGCCAUCACCAAUCCAGCUGUUUAUGCACCUCACUGUCAUUUUCUGUACAUCACUUUACUUUUUCUGUCUGUAAAUUUUCUUCCAUCACAUGGCUGCGCCAGAGUCUCAGAGCCUACUGUUGCUGGGGAGGCUGCCAAUUUGCAAAUCAUUCAUUUCUCAAUUAAACUCAACUUCUUUAAAUGUAAUUCAGAUGAAGUUUUUCUUUUUUUUGCUUUUUUUUGCAAUCAGAGAUCAAUAUAUACAUUUUGAGGAGACAAAAUUCAGUCCAUGACGUUCUACCUCCAGACCCUCAAUAUGCAUAUUUUCACAUGUGGAGAACUAUAGACUUUUGAUCUUCAAGACCCUGGUAUCUCAUAAAACGUUAAUAAGUGUUUCUUGAAAAUAAGAUUCCCUGUUCACCCAGACAUGGGAAACUCUGGGUACUCCAUUUCUUUCUGAGGAAUUCACAAUACAUUUUAUGUCAUUAAAGGUUCAAUUACAUUUUUUUUGCAAUAUGGAAAGUUUUCACUUUAUUCAACUCAAUUUUUCCAAACCUUAACUGGCUACAGUUUAUUUAUCAUGUUAUGGAACACUUACUAACGUCUAAAGGGUGCCAAUGUUUUCUUGAACAUUAAAAAAAAUAAGGAUUUACUCCAAUUUUCCAGACUCGUCACCAAAGAAGGUCAUUGAAUUUUUGGUCUUCUUCGACUGCUCAGAAGUUCUUUAUCACAUUGAACAGAACUCCACUGGAUGUGGCCUCCAACAUUCUAGUUCUCAACAAUGGAGCCCAACAGAACAAGUCUGCACCCUCUUUUCAAGUAUAGCCCUUCAGACCUGCAAAGGCAGUUCUAGAGUGCACUGUCAAGGUCUUUUUUUCUCCAGAUGAUUAGAUCUCUUAAUAUUUCCGCUUAUAGUACGAAGUCUUGCAGUGUUCCCCACACUAGAGAUACAGAGUGGAAAAAGACACACAGGAUCCCUACUUCAUGAAGCUUACUUUCUUGUAGGCUCCAGAGAGAGCCAUCCUGAUGGAACCUACUGACCAGGAGGACACAAAAGAAAAGAGGGAAGAGAUGAAAGAAGGUGAGGGUCUCUAUUGCCAGCAGAACUGGACUGUGUGUUUAACUGGAAAGAUGAUGGAGAAUGUAGUUAUGCACGGCUCUCUGGACCCUUCUAGUGAAAUAAAGAACUGGUUAAAUAAGGCAAGACAGAAGAAUGAGGCUGCCAUCUAGAGGUAGUAACAGGUAAUGUUCCAGGGCACAAGGGAGCCAAAGGCAGAGAGCUUCACUUUUUAAUCUGUGCAGUCUUCAUGCAUAAUAAUGAUCUCAUUCCUCUGUAUUAGUCAAAAUCUUCCCAUUAUAAAUGACGAAUUAUAACCAGAUUAAACCAAAAAGUAAAAUAAUUUUUGACUGAUUGAUA